rnacentral:pre_miRNA from 1 species
AAAGUACUCCCUCCGUCCCAAAAUUCUUGUCUUAGAUUUGUCUAGAUACGAAUGUAUCUAAAUGUGACUUGAUACAUCCGUAUCUAGACAAAUCUAAGACAAGAAAUUUGGGACAGAGGGAGUAGUUG